rnacentral:rRNA from 1 species
UUAAGCGACUAAGCGUACACGGUGGAUGCCCUGGCAGUCAGAGGCGAUGAAGGACGUGCUAAUCUGCGAUAAGCGUCGGUAAGGUGAUAUGAACCGUUAUAACCGGCGAUUUCCGAAUGGGGAAACCCAGUGUGUUUCGACACACUAUCAUUAACUGAAUCCAUAGGUUAAUGAGGCGAACCGGGGGAACUGAAACAUCUAAGUACCCCGAGGAAAAGAAAUCAACCGAGAUUCCCCCAGUAGCGGCGAGCGAACGGGGAGCAGCCCAGAGCCUGAAUCAGUGUGUGUGUUAGUGGAAGCGUCUGGAAAGGCGCGCGAUACAGGGUGACAGCCCCGUACACAAAAAUGCACAUGCUGUGAGCUCGAUGAGUAGGGCGGGACACGUGGUAUCCUGUCUGAAUAUGGGGGGACCAUCCUCCAAGGCUAAAUACUCCUGACUGACCGAUAGUGAACCAGUACCGUGAGGGAAAGGCGAAAAGAACCCCGGCGAGGGGAGUGAAAAAGAACCUGAAACCGUGUACGUACAAGCAGUGGGAGCACGCUUAGGCGUGUGACUGCGUACCUUUUGUAUAAUGGGUCAGCGACUUAUAUUCUGUAGCAAGGUUAACCGAAUAGGGGAGCCGAAGGGAAACCGAGUCUUAACUGGGCGUUAAGUUGCAGGGUAUAGACCCGAAACCCGGUGAUCUAGCCAUGGGCAGGUUGAAGGUUGGGUAACACUAACUGGAGGACCGAACCGACUAAUGUUGAAAAAUUAGCGGAUGACUUGUGGCUGGGGGUGAAAGGCCAAUCAAACCGGGAGAUAGCUGGUUCUCCCCGAAAGCUAUUUAGGUAGCGCCUCGUGAAUUCAUCUCCGGGGGUAGAGCACUGUUUCGGCAAGGGGGUCAUCCCGACUUACCAACCCGAUGCAAACUGCGAAUACCGGAGAAUGUUAUCACGGGAGACACACGGCGGGUGCUAACGUCCGUCGUGAAGAGGGAAACAACCCAGACCGCCAGCUAAGGUCCCAAAGUCAUGGUUAAGUGGGAAACGAUGUGGGAAGGCCCAGACAGCCAGGAUGUUGGCUUAGAAGCAGCCAUCAUUUAAAGAAAGCGUAAUAGCUCACUGGUCGAGUCGGCCUGCGCGGAAGAUGUAACGGGGCUAAACCAUGCACCGAAGCUGCGGCAGCGACGCUUAUGCGUUGUUGGGUAGGGGAGCGUUCUGUAAGCCUGCGAAGGUGUGCUGUGAGGCAUGCUGGAGGUAUCAGAAGUGCGAAUGCUGACAUAAGUAACGAUAAAGCGGGUGAAAAGCCCGCUCGCCGGAAGACCAAGGGUUCCUGUCCAACGUUAAUCGGGGCAGGGUGAGUCGACCCCUAAGGCGAGGCCGAAAGGCGUAGUCGAUGGGAAACAGGUUAAUAUUCCUGUACUUGGUGUUACUGCGAAGGGGGGACGGAGAAGGCUAUGUUGGCCGGGCGACGGUUGUCCCGGUUUAAGCGUGUAGGCUGGUUUUCCAGGCAAAUCCGGAAAAUCAAGGCUGAGGCGUGAUGACGAGGCACUACGGUGCUGAAGCAACAAAUGCCCUGCUUCCAGGAAAAGCCUCUAAGCAUCAGGUAACAUCAAAUCGUACCCCAAACCGACACAGGUGGUCAGGUAGAGAAUACCAAGGCGCUUGAGAGAACUCGGGUGAAGGAACUAGGCAAAAUGGUGCCGUAACUUCGGGAGAAGGCACGCUGAUAUGUAGGUGAGGUCCCUCGCGGAUGGAGCUGAAAUCAGUCGAAGAUACCAGCUGGCUGCAACUGUUUAUUAAAAACACAGCACUGUGCAAACACGAAAGUGGACGUAUACGGUGUGACGCCUGCCCGGUGCCGGAAGGUUAAUUGAUGGGGUCAGCGCAAGCGAAGCUCUUGAUCGAAGCCCCGGUAAACGGCGGCCGUAACUAUAACGGUCCUAAGGUAGCGAAAUUCCUUGUCGGGUAAGUUCCGACCUGCACGAAUGGCGUAAUGAUGGCCAGGCUGUCUCCACCCGAGACUCAGUGAAAUUGAACUCGCUGUGAAGAUGCAGUGUACCCGCGGCAAGACGGAAAGACCCCGUGAACCUUUACUAUAGCUUGACACUGAACAUUGAGCCUUGAUGUGUAGGAUAGGUGGGAGGCUUUGAAGUGUGGACGCCAGUCUGCAUGGAGCCGACCUUGAAAUACCACCCUUUAAUGUUUGAUGUUCUAACGUGGACCCGUAAUCCGGGUUGCGGACAGUGUCUGGUGGGUAGUUUGACUGGGGCGGUCUCCUCCUAAAGAGUAACGGAGGAGCACGAAGGUUGGCUAAUCCUGGUCGGACAUCAGGAGGUUAGUGCAAUGGCAUAAGCCAGCUUGACUGCGAGCGUGACGGCGCGAGCAGGUGCGAAAGGCAGGUCAUAGUGAUCCGGUGGUUCUGAAUGGAAGGGCCAUCGCUCAACGGAUAAAAGGUACUCCGGGGAUAACAGGCUGAUACCGCCCAAGAGUUCAUAUCGACGGCGGUGUUUGGCACCUCGAUGUCGGCUCAUCACAUCCUGGGGCUGAAGUAGGUCCAAGGGUAUGGCUGUUCGCCAUUUAAAGUGGUACGCGAGCUGGGUUUAGAACGUCGUGAGACAGUUCGGUCCCUAUCUGCCGUGGGCGCUGGAGAAUUGAGGGGGGGCUGCCUCCUAGUACGAGAGGACCGGAGUGGACGCAUCACUGGUGUUCGGGUUGUCAUGCCAAUGGCACUGCCCGGUAGCUAAAUGCGGAAGAGAUAAGUGCUGAAAGCAUCUAAGCACGAACUUGCCCCGAGAUGAGUUCUCCCUGACUCCUUGAGAGUCCUGAAGGAACGUUGAAGACGACGACGUUGAUAGGCCGGGUGUGUAAGCGCAGCGAUGCGUUGAGCUAACCGGUACUAAUGAACCGUGAGGCUUAACCUU